UGAUGACCAGUAUACCAGAGGUCCUGGGUCUCCAAGCUGUUUAAAAGUAGCUGGAGUCUGAAGUCAAAAACUGUUUCCUGAAUUUUCCAGGCUCUUGAUUUGUGCUCCAUCAUAUUAUGUCUAUAUAGGACAUGGACUAUAUUGUAUCCUCCUUUCCGUGAUUAAGUAGGUAAAGUAUUGGAGUUAUAGUAGCUUAUUCUUUCAUUGAUGACUCAGGAUCUUGUAAUGAUUCAAGGUCAUAAACAAGACCCAUGAUUAUCUGACAAUAAUAUAACUGUGGUAGAGGUGAUAUUAACUCACAGCAGAAAGCAUGCACUGAGAGGGAUGAGUGUACUCUGGGUACAUUUUCAUAGCCACAGUAUUAGUUUUCUAUUGCUUUAACAAAUCAGCACAAAUCUAGCAGCUUGAAACAACACAAAUCUACUAUCUUACAAUUCUGGCCUCUCACUGGGCUAAAAUCAAGAUACGGACUGGGUCGCUAUCCUUUCUGGAGGCUCCAUGGGAGAGUCUGUUUUCUUGCUUUUUCCAGCUUCUAGAGGCCACUUGUGUUCCUUAGCUUUUCCUCUGUCUUCCAAGCUAGCAGUAGUGGGUGGAGCCUUUCACACACUGCAUCACUCUGACCCUGACUCUCCUGCCUCCCUCUUUUGCUUAGAAGGACCCUUGUGAUUACAUUGGGCCCACCCUGAUAAUCCAGGAUAAUCUCCCUGUUUCAAGGUCUUUAGCUUAAGCACAUCUGCAAAGUCCCUUUUGCCAUGCAAUGGAACUUGUUCAUUGGUUCCAGGUUUGAGACAUGGAUGUCUUUCAGGGGACAUUAUUUUGCCCACCACAGCCAUCAUCAACAGAAUGGGAUUGUUAUAGAAGAUCUGGGUCACUGAUGGUAAAGUAGUCAGAGAUGAAAAAUACUGUCCUUCAUAGCAGGCUUCGAGGCAAGCAGGGAGCACUUCUGCCUCACGGCUAUAAAUGUGGCUGUCGCCAAAACAUGUCUCCUCUCAACUGCCCAUAGGAGGAAGAAGGUGAGGGACCCAAGGAACAAAGCCAUCCAAGCUGAGCCCAGGCUAGAUCAGCUGGGUCCUGGCCCACACAGCAAUGUGCAAGGUUUUGGGGUACAUGAGCAGAGCAUGCAAGACAGUUGCUUUACUACAAAAAGGCAAAACAUCCAAAGAAGAGACUUCAAACAUCAAACAAACCAACCAGAAAUUCACGAAUUAUUGCUCGAGAUAAGUUUAUCAAGGUGAUCUGUGCUCAAUGUGUGGAUCUCAUGUCAGCAGCAUCAGCCUCACCUAGGGGCUUGUUAGAGCUGAAGAAUCUCAGAGUCCAUGGCAGAUUUCCUGAAUCAGGAGCUACAUUUUAACCAGAUCCUUGGGUGAUCUGAAAAUGCAGUAAAGUUUGGGAAGCACUGCUGUUGGUCAUUAAACAAUCUAAUGAACUAAGACUUUUGCUGAGCACCUGGUAGGUGGAGGGGGUCGAUUACACAAUUUAAACUGGCAGUCAUUUACAUCAGUACAAGUUGGCUGAGGUGGGAAUAAAAUGUUUGCUCAAGUGGUCUGUUGAUUUUUG
rnacentral:lncRNA from 13 species